UUCAGAAGCUCUUGCUUUACAAAGAAGGCCUCAAGAGCUGAUCCCAAGCCUUAUAAUCCCAUACCCAAAGCUCAUCCCACUGGAUGAGGAGUGUUCCAUGGAUAAGACCCUAUCUGUUAAGAUGCUGGAGCCUGAGAGAUCAGGCAUUUACCUGAUAAAGUAGACAGCUGUAGGAGGCCUUUUCUUGAGGAUAAUCUUAUGCAGAGGAUGGGUACUAGGAAGAGGGCACAGGGCCCCAGAGAAAGAGGCAUCAGUGUUCAGGAGAUUCUCAUUUCCAUCAUGGACACCCCAAAUAAUCAUCCCUCAAAAGAAAUGAUAAAACAAUCAGACUAUUCAGACAAAAUCAAGCAAAUGGUUGCCACUUUGACUCCUCAUUCCUCAUCCAAUUAUCUAUCUUUUCCUACCAGGAGACUCUAGGAACCCCCAGAGAACCCCUGGCAACCUUUGGAAACCUUGGCCCUAAAGGAGCUAUGUCAGGUUUCCAUGAAGACCCUAGGAGUCCUGGUCAAGGAAGGGUCCAGUGGGAUGAAGAAUGAGAGGAGGAGGACAGAAAGCAGUCACAUACUCCUGGCUGCACUUUCCCUUCCAUAAAACAAACUUAUAUCAUCUCCACCUCAUAGGGCCACCUGCAGAAGCCCAGAGCAGGAGCCUACCUUCCUAUUAAAUGACAAAUGGAACUGCUCCUUUUGGCGACCAGCAACCAGGAGAUACCAGGGAUGGAAGGAAUUCAUUACCACAUAGAGCUCACCUCCUGCCUUCCAGACAUCCUGUCCCAGCCCAGAGAACCCAGUGAGGUCACUUUGACCCAGACUCAGCCAACUAGAUACAGUACUCCUGUCCCUGUCAUGAGGAAGAGACUGCACUACAUCCCUCUGGCUGCAAGAGGACAGAGGGACCACUAGGUCUGGUUUCAGGACUCAGCCAUGAUAGCAGCUACAGAGGCUGUUUCCCCUGCUGCCUAUGACUGGUGUGGCCGAUACAAGUGCUGGGUAGCAGUCAUGCCUUCCAUCUACAGACGAUGUGGGGUGUUAUUCCUGACUAUCUUACCUCAUAGAUUCCCUAAGCUACCCAAUAUCCCACAGAGAAUUUUCUAAGGGAAAAUUCAAACAUACAGAACACUGAAAGGAAUAGCAUCAGGAAUGUCUAGUGACCUAUCCCAACCCACUUGAAAAACUGUCAACAUUUGGCCAAUCAGUGCACUGUUUUUUGCUCCUACCCUCAUACCUUAUUUUUAUUUUUUUAGUGUUUGCUCAUUUGUUUGUUUUAGUUGAAGUAUUUUAAAGUACAAGUUAUGUUAUUUGACCUAUAAAUAUCUUACUGUGCACUUCUAACCAAUAAGGACUAUUUUUUAAUGUAAGUAUAAUUCUAUUUUCCACCCAGUGGAUCAACAAUAAUGCCAAGAUCAUUUUUGCUCAGAUCAGCAAGAAAUGUUUUGUGUUUCUUAUGAGACCCUGUCUAACACACUUGCUCUCUUUCUCAG
ensembl:lncRNA